rfam:Ictidomys tridecemlineatus contig023539, whole genome shotgun sequence.
GGGGAUAUAGCUCAGUUGGUAGAGUGCUUGCCUUGCAUGCACAAGACCUUGGGUUCAAUCCCCAGAACCCCCU